UACGUAGGGUGCAAGCGUUGUCCGGAUUUAUUGGGCGUAAAGCGCGUGUAGGCGGCCAGGUAGGUCCGUUGUGAAAACUCGAGGCUCAACCUCGAGACGGCGACGGAAACCAUCUGGCUAGAGUCCGGAAGAGGAGAGUGGAAUUCCUGGUGUAGCGGUGAAAUGCGCAGAUAUCAGGAAGAACACCCGUGGCGAAGGCGGCUCUCUGGGGCGGUACUGACGCUGAGACGCGAAAGCGUGGGGAGCGAACAGG
rnacentral:rRNA from 1 species